GCCAGUGUGGCUCAGUGGAUAGAGCGUUGGCCUGGGGACUGAAGGACCGCAGGUUCAAUUCCAGUCAAGGGUA
rnacentral:tRNA from 1 species